CCCAAAGGCUCUUUUAAGAGCCACCCAUAUAUUCAGUAAAAGAGUCGAUCACACUGUUUCCUUUCGAGCGCUUUAGGUCGUGGUCGGGGCUGUUCUGUGGAGAUGGCUCGCACGAAGCAGACAGCGCGUAAGUCGACGGGCGGCAAGGCGCCCCGCAAGCAGCUGGCCACCAAGGCGGCCCGCAAGAGCGCGCCGGCCACGGGCGGCGUCAAGAAGCCGCAUCGCUACCGGCCCGGCACGGUGGCGCUGCGCGAGAUCCGGCGCUACCAGAAGUCCACRGAGCUGCUGAUCCGCAAGCUGCCCUUCCAGCGGCUGGUGCGCGAGAUCGCGCAGGACUUCAAGACCGACCUGCGCUUCCAGAGCUCGGCCGUCAUGGCGCUGCAGGAGGCCAGCGAGGCUUACCUGGUGGGGCUGUUCGAGGACACCAACCUGUGUGCCAUCCACGCCAAGCGCGUCACCAUCAUGCCCAAGGACAUCCAGCUGGCSCGCCGCAUCCGUGGCGAGCGUGCAUAAGCUGUUGGCAAACGGAAAUUUCAGACCAUGGAAAACCCAAAGGCUCUUUUAAGAGCCACCACAGCAUCAUUAAAGAGCUGUGAAUUACUAGCCAUACGUACAAAGUUGUAUUUUUGGGGGGGCUUUCUGGUCAGCAAGCUCUACCAUUUCAACAAUAUUCUUUCCCGACCCCAUCUGUUUCACUCCUUUGGAGGACGUGGGAACUCGUUUCUGACGGCAUAAAAACUUUUCCCACUUUUCUCGGAAAGCCUCUCUAUGGGUAGUUUCCUCAGUGCGUUUAUCAGUCGUGGUCGUGAGCGAUGUCCCGCGGAUAUUUUCAACCCAUCUGAAGCACUACUAGUUUAUUCCCAAGAUAAGUAUCUCUAAAAGGGGCGGGAGUGUGAGAAAGCUGUGUAGUGGAGGCAAGGAUAUUUUCGCUGAGUCCCUUUUCGAAAUGCUCGUUGCUGGUGUCUUCCAGGACCACACACGUUACAUCCUUAAUGGUUCUGGCUAUUCGAUAUGAAUUACUAGAGAUUUUUGGUUGUUUCCGUUUUCUCUAUCAUUGCCGAGUCUCCAGAAAGGAUUUGUUGAAGUUACCACAAAGUCUUCUCCAAUGAG